GUUACUUUGGCAGAUUAGUGCAAUAAGCUUAGAACUUAUUUAUGUAAUUUUUUUACAGGUAACA
rnacentral:tRNA from 1 species